AGAGAGAUGAUAUUAUUUAAUGAAUACAAAGUUAGGUGCCAGGUGACGUCUUAUCUAGAGUGACAAAAGAUAAAUUACAAAUUUUAAAAAGCUAACAACAUCCACAAACAUCAUGAAAUCCCAAGGAAUAACAUAACCUUUGCAUUAACGGGUGGCCAUUAAUGCCUUUUCUCCCUAUAGUUUUGGGCUCUGUCCUCUUUGCUCCAAGUCCAAGGCUUGGGAGAACUUCGAGGAUUUGGAAGAAAUGGGGAAGAACCACAAACGGGCUGAGGUAAGGUCUGGACAAGGAGGAAUUUUCCAGAAAUGCAGAUUGAACAGUCGAAGCUGGAUGAGCGUCUCGGUUGCACUGUGUGCUGUGGAACACGGUGUGGGUGGGUGUCCAGGUGGGAGCACGGCCCCGCAAGGAGACCUGGUUUCCAGGGACUGCUCGGUUUAGGGGUACUCACUGCCACCCACCUGAGCCCCCUUCUUCAUGGCCACUGAGGUUGGUCACAGCUUCCAGGGCAAAGGUCAGCAGAGGAGAGGUGCCUCAACUCUAAGGGAAGCGUAUGAUGGCAGCUGUGAUAAACGUAUUUUAAUAGUGCAUCUUUCAUAGCUUAACAUUUCUCAAAAGGAGGGCUCAGCUAGAAAGUUCUUGGCAGUUUCUGGGUCUUCAGGUGGAUCCACAUACAAAAACAAGUAAUUCUCCUCAAAGCUCAACCUCUAAUACAAUAAAACUUUACUCAGAACUCAGACAGGAGCCAAGACUGGUGGAGAGUCAGAGAUUACUAAUAUGUAAGACCCAAAGGGACAUGAAAGCCGUGUCUGAUUUGACAGAUAACACACAGAAGAGCACAAGAGUAAACCUGAAAGGAAAAAAAUACCUUUAACCGCUGUAAAAUAAGUAUUAACAUUAGGGUCACCAGUUCCUUAUUAGAAAUUUCCAAUUCCCAUUCCAGUUAACAAGACAGCUGAUACAUAAAGCUCUUCCAGCAUCUCUAGAACCUAUCCUCCACCCUCCCCAUUAACCAUUUUUGAUGCAAUAUGAGCUCUUCUGGACAUAGCCAGUGCUUAGGCAAUAUAAAGCAAGCCCCCGAACUGGGUUAUUUCAUUAUCAAGCAGCGUUUUCUUCUCCACACCAGAGCCGGCGCACGUGCUCGCCAUUAACAGGUGAUCCUGUCACCACUACCUGCCACUGCGCUUGAGUGGGCUCUGCUCCCCCUCAGUCUGCUCAGGGGGACAACCGAAGGAAGCCAGAGGGACCCUGACCCUCCCAGAUGAAGAAUGUCUGAGGGAAACAAGAAAGUGAGGCCUUAUCUCAAAGCCCUGUGAAUAAAAAAAAAAUACUGGUAACAAUUACCUUUUUUUUUGGUCUUUUGAGGGACACUCCUGAGGCACAUGGAGGUUCCCAGAAAUAGCUAAAAAGACAACAACAAAAAAAGAAAAAAAAAAAAAAAAAGAGUUCUGUGGAAAAGGGCUAAGUUACUUUCUAAAUUGAUCAGUGCUUCAUGAACAAUUUCUUGGUCCAAAGACUUUGAAACAUCCAAAUAACACUUGUGCAUCUUGGUUUGAUGUGGGAAAAAGCAAGGAAAGAAAAGACCUGUGCUCCCAUCCAAGGCGCACCUUCAGUGAUUCACUAACUAACCUCUGGGCCGAGCGCGCACAGGGAGCCCUGAAACCAUAAUCUAGUCACGAGGGAGUAAAUCAGACUGAGUUCAGGCUAAAGCACCUGUCUGCUCAUUUGUAAAAUAUGUACAAAUCUUGCCAAGAUGUUGAGGGGUUACUCUUACAACUCAAAGAGGGUACGCGGUCUACAAACUUGCGGCCAUAAGCAGCAGCCCCAUCAUUUCAUCCACCACUUGGCCCUCAGGCAGGCCCUGCAGGCAGCUUCCUCGUGAACCGGCCUGGGCUAGGCUUGCCCGCGCAGCUCUGUAAGGAGCUCUCUGGCCAGUUCUCUCGGCCUCGGGGCUUCCACGCAAAGAUGAUCCCAUCUGUACAGAGUCUGGUCCAAAAAGCCAAUAACCUCGUGUGUUAUCGCAUC
rnacentral:lncRNA from 1 species